rnacentral:rRNA from 1 species
CCCUUAGAUGUCCUGGGCUGCACGCGCGCUACACUGAUGUGUCCAGUAAGCACCUAACCUAUUCCGAGAGGAGCGGGUAACCUUAGCAAAGCACAUCGUGAUGGGGAUAGAUUAUUGCAAUUAUUAGUCUUGAACGAGGAAUUCCUAGUAAGCACAAGUCAUCAGCUUGUGUUGAUUACGUCCCUGCCCUUUGUACACACCGCCCGUCGCUCCUACCGAUCGAAGAGUUAGGUGAAUUGUUUUGAUCGAUAAGAUUUGACUAUGGUCAACUCUCGUUGUGAAAUUCUGUGAAUCUGACUGUUUAGAGGAAGGAAAAGUCGUAACA